rnacentral:lncRNA from 1 species
GUAAAAGAAAGACCCUUAAAGGGCCACUGUCGUAAAAUGGGAGGGGGUGCCGUAAAGCGCGACUGUUGUAAAAGGUGCUGUAAAGCGCGACUGUCGUAAAAAUGCCGUAAAACACGACUGUUGUGAAACUGCCAUAAAGCGCGACUGUUGUAAAAGGUGUCGUAAAGCACGACUGUCGUAAAAGGAGCAACUUUAUUGGCUUAUAGGAGCUGAUCUUCAGCAAGGUCCAGGAUCUCUGUGCAGUGGAACCGCAGAAGAGGAGAUGCCCUGCACUGCCAGCCUGCCCUCCCUCAUGCCCUGCAGGGUUGUUUUCUCUGUGUAAGAGCUGGUGGAAGAAGUGAAGUCAUUAGCAGGACGUGUGUGGCUGCCCCGUGCUCUGCCCUCCUUGCUGGAUGUUGGGACACAUAGAGCUGAUGAUACUGAAGGGUUAAAGAGGAAAUGGGACAGGCUGUGGAUUCCCAGAUAAAAUAUGAGGGGAGUUUGUGCUCUGACAGCUCUGUCCUUGUCCCAGGUACAAAAGGCCUUGAAUCAGCGGAAUGCCUCAGGUGGAGAUCCAGGGGGAUGGAUCUGCUCCCUCCCUCCUGGAUUUUUUCCCUGCUUGCUCUCAGUGUAUGUGCUGAGUGCCCAUAAGCUGCCUCCCUUCAUCUCCUUAGGCACAUGGAAUGGACCACACUGUCCAGAGCUAGGAGAUGAGAAUUCCCCAGGAAAUCAGGAUUCUCUCCUGGGAAAGAUGGAUAAACCCCACGGUGUACCAGCAGGGGCUGGAAUAUUCCCCACAUCCUGCUAG